rnacentral:ribozyme from 1 species
AAAAAUAAAAAAAGCAGUCGCUGAUGUUGAGCAACUGUGCAAGUUUCUCGUUUUUCUUCAUCCUAUCCUCUUUCUCUUUUUUCCUUCCUUUUCACAUUAAUUCA